rnacentral:rRNA from 1 species
UACGAAGGGGGCAAGCGUUGUUCGGAAUUAUUGGGCGUAAAGGGCGCGUAGGCGGCCGAUCAAGUCAGGCGUGAAAUUCCCGGGCUCAACCUGGGGGCUGCGCUUGAUACUGAUUGCUUGAAUGCGGGAGAGGAUAGUGGAAUUCCCAGUGUAGAGGUGAAAUUCGUAGAUAUUGGGAAGAACACCGGUGGCGAAGGCGGCUAUCUGGCCCGUAAUUGACGCUGAGGCGCGAAAGCGUGGGGAGCAAACAGGG